GGCAGCCGCGGUAAUUCCAGCUCCAAUAGCGUAUAUUAAAGUUGUUGCAGUUAAAAAGCUCGUAGUUGAAUUUCGGGAUCAAGUCGUCGGUCGUGCUUAGGUUCGUACUGGCGUCAUUGAUUUCUCCCUUCUGACGAACCAUGAUGUCAUUAAUUUGGUGUUAUGGGAAAUCAGGACUGUUACUUUGAAAAAAUUAGAGUGUUUAAAGCAGGCUCACGCUUGAAUACAUUAGCAUGGAAUAAUGAAAUAGGACGUUCGAUCCUAUUUUGUUGGUUUUAGGAUCAACGUAAUGAUUAAUAGGGAUAGUUGGGGGCAUUAGUAUUCAAUUGUCAGAGGUGAAAUUCUUGGAUUUAUUGAAGACUAACUACUGCGAAAGCAUUUGCCAAGGAUGUUUUCAUUAAUCAAGAACGAAAGUUAGGGGAUCGAAGACGAUCAGAUACCGUCGUAGUCUUAACCAUAAACUAUGCCGACUAGGGAUCGGAUGAUGUUAAUUUUUAAUGACUCAUUCGGCGCCUUACGG
rnacentral:rRNA from 1 species